UACGAAGGGGGCUAGCGUUGCUCGGAAUUACUGGGCGUAAAGCGUGCGCAGGCGGAUUUCCAAGUCAGGAGUGAAAUCCCAGGGCUCAACCCUGGAAUUGCUCUUGAAACUGGAUGUCUUGAGUCUCGGAGAGGUUGGCGGAAUUCCCAGUGUAGCAGUGAAAUGCGUAGAUAUUGGGAGGAACACCAGUGGCGUAAGCGGCCAACUGGACGAGUACUGACGCUCAUGCACGAAAGUGUGGGGAUCAAACAGG
rnacentral:rRNA from 1 species